UACGUAGGUGGCGAGCGUUAUCCGGAUUUACUGGGUGUAAAGGGUGUGUAGGCGGACCGACAAGUCAGGUGUGAAAUCUAUCGGCUUAACUGAUAGACUGCACUUGAAACUGUAGGCCUUGAGAGUCGGAGAGGUAAGCGGAAUUCCCAGUGUAGCGGUGAAAUGCGUAGAUAUUGGGAGGAACACCAGUGGCGAAGGCGGCUUACUGGACGACCACUGACGCUGAGACACGAAAGCGUGGGGAGCAAAC
rnacentral:rRNA from 1 species